UACGAAGGGGGCUAGCGUUGCUCGGAAUUAUUGGGCGUAAAGUGUGCGCAGGCGGCCGAGCAAGUCGAGUGUGAAAGCCCCGAGCUUAACUUGGGAAUUGCGCUCGAAACUACUUGGCUGGAGUGUGGCAGAGGAAGGUGGAAUUCCAGGUGUAGCGGUGAAAUGCGUAGAGAUCUGGAGGAACACCGAUGGCGAAGGCAGCCUUCUGGGCCAACACUGACGCUCAUGCACGAAAGCGUGGGGAGCAAACAGG
rnacentral:rRNA from 1 species